ACCACUGUUUUGACAGCCAAGGAGAAGAGAUUGUCAUUGAAUAGACUAGUGAUACCUGUGUGGUUAUGAGCUUUUGGGGGGGGGGGAUACUGGACACAAACACACAUGUCUCACAGCAAGGUCGAUUGUCAUCACAAUGGAUUAAUGUCUGAGGAGCUGCAGGGAAAAGACAGCGGAGCUUGCUACACUUACCGCUCUGUCAGAGCAAGUCCGGAAGAGAGAGAGAAAAGGGAAAAGAGAGCGAGAAAGACGGGGGAAUGCACAGCACAGGACAUGGGUGACUAACUAAACCCACUCAUACAGAACGAGAACCUUGGCUGAUCUUUACAAAAAUCAGUGAGAGCAAGGGAAUGCAAAGCCAGGGCCAGGAGGAACCUUCUCUGUUCUCCUGUCUCUUCUCCACUUCCCCAAAAGCAACCGAGAGCCAUUUUUCAAGGGGGAAAUGAUUAAGGAGGAAGUGAGAAGAUGAGGUUUGGAGAGUCUGGAGAUUCUCACGCUUCAGGUAGAAACUUCUACCUAUUCUGAUUGGCACAGUUGACGUUGGGUUUUGAGAACUUUAGCUCUGAAUAUAAAUGGGGAAGCGACAGCCAAAAAAGAGGAAUCUAAGGCAUAUUUUUAAGUGAAUCAGGCGAUACAAAUUGUGACAAUGCACAUACUGUAUUAUCAACAGACAGAAUGACAGUGAGGUAGAUAGAAUGAAAGGGAGUGAGUGAGAUUGAAACAGAGAAUGAAAAAGAGAGUAAGACGGAGUGAGUGAAAGUAAGAUGAAGAGAAAGAAAGUGUUAAAGAGAGAGAGAGGUUGAAGAGAGUCAGAGAGAGAGACCAGUUAUAUGGACUUCAGACUCCCACAGGCAUAGAAUCACAACCAGACUCACCGACAGACUGACAGACAGAGACUGAAAGAGACUCACAGGCAGAUACUCACAGGCAGAGACUCACAGGCAGAGACUCACAGACACACAGAGACUGAAAGAGACUCGCAGGCAAGAGACUCACAGGCAAGAGACUCACAGGCAAGGGACUCACAGACACACCGACAGACUCACAGACAGAGCAUGAAUCCCCCUGCUGGAACCUCAUGGCUACUACACCUAUCACAAGCUGCCCAAUGAACAGUGCACAAACAGAACCAAACUAACCAGAAAGACAUGUAGAUUAUACAUGCUUUGACAAUUAGUCAUAUAUCUGGAGCUACAUUUAUUCAGAAUCUAGACGUAGUCACCCCACCACAUCAAAAGAAUACCAUAUCUUCAUAUUUCCCAAAUUAAAAGAAGUACAGCCAACACUCAAUUCCAUCUGGAAUGAAUGACCCCUAUAAGAAUGGUUCUAUCUGACCUACAAAGUCCCCAACCUCUGCCUGCUUAUCCCUCCCUCAUCUGUCUUUAGUGCAACAACUCCUGCUGACCUCUGACCUCUGUGUUCCCAUCUCCAUUAGAGGGCUUUAAUACAUUGAUGGUGCUUCUGCUGCUCUGGCCUUCCUGGGGCUUAGGCUACUGUGCAUUUUGAAUAUUGUGUGUGGAGAGAGAUGGUGCUUUGCUUUCAGACUUAUUGUACUGCCAUACAUUG